CUACCAAGAAGAACAGAAUCCCCUCCAUCAUGAAGAAACUGUGCGUCGCAGUCGUCGGAGUUUUGCUGCUGGCUUUCCAUCUCACAUCACAGGUGGCCCUGGCGAAUAACGGCACGAAUCCGGACAACACAAACAUCACCACCCCGAGUUCCACGGGGGCUGGUUGUAGGACUACCGCCGCCUUCAUGCUGCUGCUCCCCCCGCUGGCUCUGACCGCUCUUCUCCUCCACAGGUCCUGACCGAGUGGACUGACCGCGCUGGACACAAAAGCAGCACAGUGCUGGGUGGGAAAACUUGUCUAAAGGCGACGCUCACUUUGAAGCAUUCUGCUCGUUCUAUCCUCUGCACUGGCUCUGCAUGGUCUCUGAAAACUACUUUGGCACCACACCGGUCCUCCUAUCCUGCGUGCAGUGGGAGAACACCUCAGACUCGUGUGCAGUGACCAUCUUCGAUUCUGGUUUCAUUCGCCUGAACAUGAUUUGUAAAGGAGCUAAAUUUGUAACCACUGUGCUUUUAGG
ensembl:lncRNA